GAUGAACGCUGGCGGCGUGCCUAAUACAUGCAAGUCGAGCGAACGGACGAGAAGCUUGCUUCUCUGAUGUUAGCGGCGGACGGGUGAGUAACACGUGGAUAACCUACCUAUAAGACUGGGAUAACUUCGGGAAACCGGAGCUAAUACCGGAUGAUCUUUUGAACCGCAUGGUUCAAAAGUGAAAGACGGUCUUGCUGUCACUUCUAGAUGGAUCCGCGCUGCAUUAGCUAGUUGGUAAGGUAACGGCUUACCAAGGCAACGAGGCGUAGCCGACCUGAGAGGGUGAUCGGCCGCACUGGAGGUGGGACAGGGUCCAGACUCCUACGGGAGGCAGCAGUAGGGAAUCUUCCGCAGUGGGCGAAAGCCUGACGGAGCAACGCCGCGUGAGUGAUGAAGGUCUUCGGAUCGUAAAACUCUGUUAUUAGGGAAAAACAUAUGUGUAAUUAACUGUGCACAUCUUGACGGUACCUAGUCAGAAAGCCACGGCUAACUACGUG
rnacentral:rRNA from 1 species